CCCUCCCCCACUAUCGAAUGUUCCACCAAGAAGUGCCCUCUCUCCUCCCUAAGAGUGAAAGGCUGAAGGGCUCUUAUUUAUGGCCUGGUUGGAGUGGGGCCUGGGGCCUUCCUCGGCCCAGGGAGUUUGUUUACUUAGAGUUCAGGAGGGGAGGGGAAGAGCAACACGAAUCCUGCAGAAGGAGGGUUUCAUGGAAACCUGAAUCAGAACCCCACCCCCCCCACUGGAAAGCACCUCUCAGUCAGCCUGCAGGGCCCUCGAGGCUGUGUGUCACCAGACCAACGGGAUCCAUGAAGCAAAUGCCUCCGUUAGGACUUUCUAAGCCUCGGUUAUUCAAUCCACAACAUGGAAGAAGCAACACCAGUUCUGUCUCCUUCAGGAUUGACAGAAUCAAAGAGAGAAGCCAGAAACAAACACGUUUUGGGAAAUUUAUCAACAAAAUGAGAGGCAGUUCACCAAAACUGGAGACCUUGACUCUCCUCUUCCUCAUGGCCCACAUCAGUCACCUCCUUACUGAUCUGGCAGCCUGGAUGGGAGAGGAAUUUGGGGGAGGAUGGAGACGUGUAUGUAUAGCUGAGUCCCUUCACUGUCCACCUGAAACUACUACAACAUUGUUAAGGGGCUAUGUGUGAUAAGUUGCUUUCGCUGUGUCCUACUCUUUGUGACCUCUGGACUGCAGCCCAGCAGGCUCCUCUGUCCAUGGGAUCUCCAGGCAAGAAUACUGGAGUGGGUUGCCAUGC